GGAACCGGCACACGCACAUGCCUGCUGUCUCACGUGACACGCACGUUAGAAAUCUACAACUUCAAUUCUAGGACUAUAACAAUGUUUACAUUUGUAUUUUAUUUAUUGCUAACAGUCUCUUCCAGGCGUUCGUCGGUUUCCUCCCACCUCCCAAAAACUUUCAAGUAGGUGCAUUGAAUAAAAAUGUCCCUAGUAGUGAAUGGGUGUGUGUGAAUGUUGCUCUACUCUGGUGUCCCAUCCAGGGUGUAUCCACUGCAACCCUGACCAGGACAAGUGGUUACUCAAAGUACAUGUGCACUCCUGCUGCCCGAUGUGAUGCCGGUGCCUGAUACUGACAGAAUUCUACUGCUGUGGCUCCUCUUGCCCUCUGAACCUGCCUGAUUCAUCCUGAUACUAUUUCUGCUUGGAGCUUCUGCACUUGUGACUCACUUUCUGCUGUUGUGGAUAGUCCCACAUGGACACCCAAGUCUCACCCU